UAGAUCUCUGGUUAUCCACUCCCCAACUUGAUUUGUAGUUUCCUUGUAUCUCUGUUUAGCUCUUCUGUGUUAAUUAUUCUCCCCCUUCAGCUGCUCUGCUUUUCCUCUGCCCCAGCUGCUCCACAUCUCCUCUGAUUGCUCUUCUGGUUUGCCUGCCAUGUCUCUUCCCCUGUCUCAGUAUAUAUACUCACUGGUUCUCAUUGUUUUUCCUGGAUUCUUCUGUUGACUGCGUUUCUCUGGCUGUUUUUGCCAUGGCAGUUUCUUCCGUGUCAACAUUAGAGAAGAUUCAACGGUAGUUACUUCCAAUGUCAGUGAGGUGAUUUAAAAUGAAAUCGGUGGAAGCACAGAGAUGCAAGAAGCUAUUUAAAAGGUAAUUCAUGAGGCUGGUGCCAUGCUCCCAGAUCUUGGACGACUUGCAGGAGAGCUGAGUAGCACCAACGUUCUGGCUACGGUUCAACUCCUGGACCGCUGCAACCACUGCGUAUACCGCAUCAAAGAGCA